GGGGAUGUAAAGGUUUCGACGGGGAUUUCAAACCUUGGUAAGCGAGCGGCGGUGCGGAACCGCCAUAAAAUCCGCAACUUUAAAAUUAACUGACAACAAAACAGUUGCUUUAGCAGCCUGAGUGCUGCUCGUUCCUGCACAGAGUACCUCGGCUGUGUAAGGGGCGUCGAUUAGAGGUAAAUGUGAACAGGGGAGCGCUCCGAACCCUGUCACAGCUUAGGAGCUGCCAAAGUGCAUAGCCUGUUGAUGGGCGAUGCAUCGAGGGAGAUUUAAAACACCAACUGCGCUCGGAGAAACCCUUGGCAAGAUUUUUUCGGACAGGGGUUCGAUUCCCCUCAUCUCCACCA
rnacentral:tmRNA from 1 species